CACGGAGGGUGCAAACGUUGCUCGGAAUUACUGGGCGUAAAGCGCGCGUAGGCGGCUUUGCAAGUCGAGUGUGAAAUCCCCAGGCUCAACCUGGGAACUGCAUUCGAGACUGCAUAGCUAGAGUAUGGGAGAGGGAAGUGGAAUUUCAGGUGUAGCGGUGAAAUGCGUAGAUAUCUGAAGGAACAUCAGUGGCGAAAGCGACUUCCUGGACCGACAUUGACGCUGAACGGCGAAAGCUAGGGGAGCAAACGGG
rnacentral:rRNA from 1 species